ensembl:lncRNA
GGAAGAGAAUGUAAUUGUUCUGCCUGUUACGGUGGAACCAGAUAAUUUUCCACAGCACACCUGAUAAUUUCUCACGACACACCUAUGGCCACGGCACAGUGGUUGGGAAACACUGGCUUAGACAGUAAGCUUAGCACAAAUACACAAGGAAGAUGGUUAAACAGUCAGUUUAGGUUUGUUCCAGUGUUCAAAAAUUGGUGUGAGUGGUCCAUUUUUUUCUACUAACUAUAUCCAUCAAUCAUGUAAAGCAAGAAUAAAGCUAACAUUAUGGCUCACUUGAGGGGAGAUAUUGUAAAUGUUUACAUUCUGUUACACUGCUGUGAGCCUCUUGACUCAAACACUUUGUCCUGUAGAGUGAUCCAGCUGGUGGGUGAAGUUCACCAAAAGAGAAAAUGCUCCCUACUUUAAAAUGCUCAGGUGUUUGGUUUUUUUUUUUUUUUUUUUGUGCUCUGGGCAAUACUAGUCAAGAACCGUUUAGUUCCAUUAUAGUCAUGAAAUACCAGAUAUCACCAAACCAGAUUAAUCUGGGUGGAUAAACAGCCCCACAGCCCAAAGGCAAAGUACAGAAAUGUUAUUUUGGGGUAAAUUCUUUCUUUAACAAUCAGACAUCUUGACUGGCCUCACUUGGAGGCUUAUAUGUUGAGCUAUUCCAUGACUGGGUGCAAGAAACUCUUGGUAAGUAAACAGGUAAAGUGUAUUACCAAAAAUGUUUAACUGCUAUUUUAGCUUAUUUUUAUUUGAUGGAUUUGUGAUGGCGUGGUCUGUCCCAGCUCUUACUUUUGAUCAUUUCUGUGAAAUGCAUAUGCUCGGCAAUGACAGAUUGAUGCGAAGCAUAUUGUUCUCUGUAGAAAGAUCACAGUUCAGCUCACGAGGAAUUGAAGACGUAACCAUCAAAAUGUUGUUUUGAUGAUGUUUUAUUGAAAACCAAUGAACCACACCCAGGUCUUGGGUGUGGAUGGGAACAGUGUUUUCUUUCACUGCCAUACUAACGUACUAAGAGUCGUCUAGUAUAAAGUAACAUUUUUUGGAAAAAGUGAGCACCAAUCAAUC